rnacentral:rRNA from 1 species
AGUGAACGCUGGCGGUAGGCCUAACACAUGCAAGUCGAACGGCAGCACAGUAAGAGCUUGCUCUUACGGGUGGCGAGUGGCGGACGGGUGAGGAAUACAUCGGAAUCUACUUUUUCGUGGGGGAUAACGUAGGGAAACUUACGCUAAUACCGCAUACGACCUACGGGUGAAAGCAGGGGAUCUUCGGACCUUGCGCGAUUGAAUGAGCCGAUGUCGGAUUAGCUAGUUGGCGGGGUAAAGGCCCACCAAGGCGACGAUCCGUAGCUGGUCUGAGAGGAUUAUCAGCCACACUGGAACUGAGACACGGUCCAGACUCCUACGGGACGCAGCAGUGGGGAAUAUUGGACAAUGGGCGCAAGCCUGAUCCAGCCAUACCGCGUGGGUGAAGAAGGCCUUCGGGUUGUAAAGCCCUUUUGUUGGGAAAGAAAAGCAGCAGGUUAAUACCCCGCUGUUCUGACGGUACCCAAAGAAUAAGCACCGGCUAACUUCGUG